UACAGAGGCCUCGAGCGUUAGGCGGAAUCACUGGGCUUAAAGCGUGUGUAGGCGGAUUGGUAAGUACCUUGUGAAAUCCCACAGCUUAACUGUGGAACUGCUCGGUAUACUGCUGAUCUUGAGCCACUCAGGGGCUACCGGAACAAAUGGUGGAGCGGUGAAAUGCGUAGAUAUCGUUUGGAACGCCAAUGGUGAAAACAGGUUGCUGGGGGUGUGCUGACGCUGAGACACGAAAGCCAGGGGAGCAAACGGG
rnacentral:rRNA from 1 species